GACGAACGCUGGCGGCGUGCUUAACACAUGCAAGUCGAACGGAAAGGCCCUGCUUGCAGGGUACUCGAGUGGCGAACGGGUGAGUAACACGUGGGUGAUCUGCCCUGCACUUCGGGAUAAGCCUGGGAAACUGGGUCUAAUACCGGAUAGGAGCCAUUUUUAGUGUGAUGGUCGGAAAGUUUUUUUCGGUGUAGGAUGAGCUCGCGGCCUAUCAGCUUGUUGGUGGGGUAAUGGCCUACCAAGGCGGCGACGGGUAGCCGGCCUGAGAGGGUGGACGGCCACAUUGGGACUGAGAUACGGCCCAGACUCCUACGGGAGGCAGCAGUGGGGAAUAUUGCACAAUGGGCGCAAGCCUGAUGCAGCGACGCCGCGUGGGGGAUGACGGCCUUCGGGCUGUAAACUCCUUUCGCUAGGGACGAAGCUUUUUGUGACGGUACCUAGAUAAGAAGCACCGGCUAACUACGUG
rnacentral:rRNA from 1 species